CUCCAGCUCCCCCCGCCCCCGCCCGGGCCCCGCCCCCAGGUCAGCUGAGCCACCGGGGCCCGCCCCGCCUCCCGCGGCGGCGCGGGUGGGCGGUGAGCGCAGAGCCCCGGCGGACCGCAGAAGCCGUCCUGGGCUGGCACGUCUGCAGUCUGAGCGCUGCUCCGCGCUUGUUCCCGCCGCUCCGGUGCCUUAACGAGAGGCGAGAACUGUGCGUGGUCAUUGGGACACCCAGUGUCCUGGGCACAGAGUGGCGCGCAAAGCCUCGGGGAGCUCACAGAGACUAGGAUGACAAGACACAGCUAGAGUCUCGCGCUGCUUCAGAGAACUGAAACACCAGAGACCCUCGCCACCUCAUUCCCCUCAAACUUCCCCAGCCCCUCAUUCACGCUGCAGGUGCCUGCCUGGAGGUGGUGACGCUCACCUCCUGCAGCUCCAUAGGUUGGUCUCAGGGCAUACUCCCGCCCUUCAAUGAGGUAAUCUACUUUACAACAGAGAGAUGGCAGCUCUGUGUGGAGUCCUGGACCACAGGUUGGAUACACACCAGCUGUGCACAGGCUUGUAGAAGUGAGUUCUGGUGUAUGACCCUCCAAGACACAGGAAGUUGUGUGUAGGGCAUACAGAAAUGUUGGUUUCCAUGUCAAGAGGGCUGCAAAAAGAUCAUCGCUGGCCAAGGCUGCAAGGUCACAUAUGAAUUGUUUCUUGCCCUGUGGAUAUUCACUGAAUGUCUUCACAUCCACCAGCCAACCACCAGCCCACACCAGGAAUUUCUAGAGAAUCUCUUUUUCCCUGCAUUAUCCUUCCAAUAUCCUCUACUGAGAAAGCUUAACAUUAUUUUCAUUUUAAAGGAGAAAUGCUUAAAGGAACUCAGUUGUUUAUCACAGCAUACCUCAAAGAUAUUAUGGGUUUGGUUCCAGAACACCACAAUAAAGUCAGUAUCUCAAUAAAGCAAGUCAAAUUAA